rnacentral:rRNA from 1 species
ACGCUCGACACCUACGGGUGGCAGCAGUGGGGAAUAUUGCACAAUGGGGGAAACCCUGAUGCAGCAACGCCGCGUGAAGGAAGACGGUUUUCGGAUUGUAAACUUCUGUUCUUAGUGAAGAUAGUGACGGUAGCUAAGGAGCAAGCCACGGCUAACUACGUGCCAGCAGUCGCGGUAAUCUGAGCGGGCUGGCAAGGC